AGGGGCAGCUGUCUCCCUCACAGGACUCCCCUGGGAUUCAUGAGAGCUUCCCACCUCUUCCAGCAGUGGGGAAGCCUGAGCUUUGGGGAAUUGAGGCUGCGAGGACCCUUCUCUCCAGUGCUCCCAAUCCGCCUUUACCGGGAGAAACCCCCUACCCCCUUGCCCCAUGCCUCCCAAGCCCCAACCCCCCACUCUCUGCACAUGCUCAGUACAUUCAGUGCCCUGCGUUCCACUGGCUCGAAGCCAUGGCAACCUGCUUGGCAACCUGGAGUCAGUUGGGCUGAGGCCCUGGGCCCCAACUGUCAGAAGGGGAAGGCUGAGGUGGAAGAGUUUGGGGCUGUGGCCAUGGAAUCCUCUGCAGGGUCUGGGACGCCUUUGCCCAAAUACUGCAGUGUGGCGAGGACCCUGAAGUCCCCUUCCUGGCCUGGCGCUGCUCCUCCCUGGGGACUCUCCUUCACCUGCCCCUUUGCCAUCCGGCACAACCCACUCUCCAGAUAUGUGUCUUACCACCCGUGUCUCCACAUUGCUGACUCAGCAUGGCAGGGGCCUGGCUGGUUGAGAAGAGUGGGAAAUGCUGCUGACACAUGGGUCCUGGCAAGAAGGGGACCAGAUGGCUUUUAUUACCGGGCUCAGAUAAAGACUGCUCCAGAGUUGGAGAGAUGGGGGACCCUGCUGGUGGAAUUCGAGGUUCCCCUCAUCACAGACCCAAAGCUGCCAGCCCAGCGGCAGAACGUGGUCUUAGAAGAUGAUGUCAUUCAGUUCUUGCCAUCCGUGGAAUGCUCGCUGCGACCUGGGGACAAAGUGCUUGCCCUCUGUGAGCCAGAUGAACAGCGGUAUGGCCCUGGCACCGUUCUCUUGGCCUCGGAGGCAAGAGACCCCCAGAGAGCAUCAAAAGGAGAAAUUACUGUUCACUUCUGGAAUGGCAAGACAGCUACUGUGCCUCGAGGCGGGGUCAGGUGGGUGCCCUCGGCUGUCUGGAAGAAGGCUGUGGAGAGGCUGCAUAAGCCUUUCACCACGGAGCCCCCCGGCACCCUUCUCCAGGCCCCUUGCUGCUGUCUGCUGGGACCAGCCACGGGGGGGUUUUCCAACGGGCUUUUCCUGGGCACUCCAUCCCUGUGUCUUCCCUGCGUCCCUCAGGCCUGCUGCCAACUGCUAUGCCAGGGCUGCCUCUGCUCUUGCCCCUUGGCUAGACCUACAUGGUGGCCUCUAGCCAGGGCCUCAGGGGUCACAGCCAAAGAACAUCCAGAGGUGGAACUGAAGCCCAUGGCACAGCAUUUGCCCCUAGACAGUCCCAGAGAAGAAGAAGGAGCAGUGCAAGCUCCCCUGGGUGUUUCUUCUUCUUCCUCUUCCUCUUCCUCUGAAGAGGAUUUGGAGAAUGAUCUGCAGAUGGGCCUCCCCCAGAGGCUGACAGUGGACAGCACAGUCAACACAGACCCCAUCCUUCUUGAGAAGUCUCCGAGGAGAAAAGGUGGCCUCUGCCAGCCCGAAUGGAGGUACUGGAGGAGAAACAGGUCUGAGUCGCAUCCUGGGAAGCCAGGCCUAAUCCCAUGGUGGCAUAUGCAACAUAACUCACUGAAUCUGGGGUUUAGGAACAAGACAUGGAUCCAUCUGGAGAGAAAAGAGGGACAACAAACAACCAAGGGUACAGAGUGUAGUGCUGGAGAAUACCAAGGAGCUGGUCCUGGAAGCAAGAGGCGUGAAGCCACCACGAAUCCUGCCAGAGGAUGGUGAACACAGAAAAUGGAGUCAGGGAACAGUGACACAGCAGAAGGACCAGGAUGCCCUCAGACUGAAAGCCCAGAGCAGCCAGGAAGGUAAAAGAGCAGUGGUGAUAACUACCUGAGGAGGUGCUGCUAAGUGGCCACCAAGUCCUCCUGUGAGGGCUGGGGGCAGAGCGCAGGCCACACGUGACUGGCCCAGGAGCAGUGGUGUCCUCAUGCACUAGAUGUGGCUGCAGAUGAGUGGCGCAAAGGCACGUGCGGGGCGGCAGCUGGGGGGCGCUUGGGGGACCUGCUCAAGAGCGCCUCUUCCGCAGACGCACCAGGACAUGGCUUUGGGCAAAUGUGUCCACAGCCUCUCUGCCGCCUUCUCAUAAACCUACAGCUGUCCAUGAGCGACCCUGUUUCACCUCUUCAUGCCAAUAAAAAGGAACUCUUCAUUUUCAAA